rnacentral:rRNA from 1 species
UCCGUAGGGUGCAAGCGUUGUCCGGAAUUAUUGGGCGUAAAGAGCUCGUAGGCGGUCUGUCGCGUCUGCUGUGAAAACUCGGGGCUUAACCCCGGGCCUGCAGUGGGUACGGGCAGACUAGAGUGCGGUAGGGGAGACUGGAAUUCCUGGUGUAGCGGUGAAAUGCGCAGAUAUCAGGAGGAACACCGGUGGCGAAGGCGGGUCUCUGGGCCGUAACUGACGCUGAGGAGCGAAAGCGUGGGGAGCGAACAGG